rnacentral:tRNA from 1 species
AGCAUAUAUCGUGCAAUACGGCCAAGCAUUUGGGACUCUGAAUCCUAGGACCACGGUUCGAAUCCGUGCCGGGCUA